GCUUCAGAUUUUUUAUUAGCUAAUAAACUCUAGGAGGCAACUGCCAUUAGGACCGUGGCUGAUCCUGACUCCAAACUGCAGGAUGCUGCAGCCGUCUACUGUAUGUAAAUAUGAAAUGGUUAAAGUCAGGAAGCAGUCAGAUUCGACACUAUUCUCUGGAUGGUUGGCCAGUCAGGUUGACUUUGAAAUGGAUCGUGGGUGAUUAGCUAGAAAUGCUGGGAGAGUACCGAGGUCUCGGUGGUGAACCCCGACAGCUGGUGCCGGAGUCAGCAGAGCAACGAUCCAGGUUACCCAAGCCUCGUUCGUUAAGAGAUCUCAGGAGAACUUUCUAACAGUUUAAGGACUCUGGAUUCUCGCUUUUUUCCCCGCUGGCAGCUGGAUCAGACGUUUGCUUCACAGCUUCAGGCGAACCCUGUCCACCCUCUUCCGUACCUCUCAGGACUACCUUGCUCCGACGGUGCAGUGUUGCUCGCUGCCCCUCCAGGAUCUCAACCUCUCUCCCUGGUGGACCUAACUCAAACUGACGUAAGCUCUCUCGUAGAGUACUUUUUAAGGUUUCUGUUGUGGUGUCUUACCUGCGUUCGUUUUCUCUUGCAGUCGCUCAGCAGCCUCUGUUUCCAGUACCUGGUUCCGCAAAUAAAGCUUCUGAAACGC